rnacentral:ncRNA from 1 species
GCUCAUCAUUGUUCCCGUAAACACAAAGGUUUGGUCCCAGCCUUAAAAUCAGUUAUUGUUAAAUUUACACAUGCAAGUCUCCGCACACCUGUGAAAACACCCACAUCCUCUUACCGAACUAAGGAGUCGAUAUCAGGCUCAACCAAGCCCAUAACAUCUAGUCUCACCACACCCAUACGGGUCUCCAGCAGUGAUUAACAUUGAACAUGAACGCAAGAUUGAUUCAGUCAAACAAACAAGGCCGGCAAAUCUGGUGCCAGCCGCCGCGGUUAAACCAACAGGCCUAAAUUGAUUUUUAUCGGCGUAAAGCGUGAUUAAAGAAAAACCACAUUAGAAUUAAAUUUUUGUCAAGCUGUAACAUGCUUCCAUCUUAAAAGCCCAAAUACGAAAGCUAUUCUAUCCCACUUGAACUCACGACAACUGGGACCCAAACUGGAAUUAGAUACUCCACUAUGCCCAAUCGUAAACUCUUACUUACCUCAACACCGCCAGGGAACUACGAGCAAAGCUUAAAACCCAAAGGACUUGACGGUACCCCAAACCCACCUAGAGGAGCCUGUCCUAUGAUUGAUACCCCCCGUUCUACCUCACCACUUUUAGCUUCUCAGCCUGUAUACUUCCGUCGUCAGCUUACCACGUGAGCGAAACACAGUCAGCCCAAUGGACUCUCCAAAACGUCAGGUCAAAGUGCAGCAAAUAAAGCGGAAAGAGAUUGGCUACACUUUUUAACCCUAAAAGAAACGAAAAGCUAUAUGAAACCUCAGCUCGAAGGCGGAUUUAGUAGUAAGAAGAAAACAGAGUGUUCUACUUAACUCGGCACUGGGGUGUGUACACACCGCCCGUCACCCUCCUCAAAUUUUUAUUUAAGUCAAUAACAUCAAACACCAAAACAGAGAAGGUAAGUCGUAACAUGGUAAGUGUACCUGAAGGUGCACUUGGAAACGACUCGUAGCUUAACCAAAGCCU